AGAGUUUGAUCAUGGCUCAGAUUGAACGCUAGCGGGAUGCCUUACACAUGCAAGUCGAACGGCAGCGCGGACUUCGGUCUGGCGGCGAGUGGCGAACGGGUGAGUAAUGUAUCGGAACGUGCCCAGUAGCGGGGGACAACCACUCGAAAGAGUGGCUAAUACCGCAUACGCCCUACGGGGAAAGGGGGGGAUCGCAAGACCUCUCACUAUUGGAGCGGCCGAUAUCGGAUUAGCUAGUUGGUGGGGUAAAGGCCUACCAAGGCGACGAUCCGUGGCUGGUUUGAGAGGACGACCAGCCACACUGGGACUGAGACACGGCCCAGACUCCUACGGGAGGCAGCAGUGGGGAAUUUUGGACAAUGGGGGAAACCCUGAUCCAGCCAUUCCGCGUGUGCGAUGAAGGCCUUCGGGUUGUAAAGCACUUUUGGCAGGAAAGAAAUCGUGUGGGUUAAUACCCUGCGCGGAUGACGGUACCUGCAGAAUAAGCACCGGCUAACUACGUG
rnacentral:rRNA from 1 species